CAGGAUCCUGAGUACGGCCGGACACGUGAAAUCCGGUCGGAAUCCGCGAGGACCAUCUCGCAAGGCUAAAUACUCCCUAGUGACCGAUAGUGAACCAGUACCGUGAGGGAAAGGUGAAAAGCACCCCGGAAGGGGAGUGAAAAAGUUCCUGAAACCAUGUGCCUACAAGAAGUUAGAGCCCGUUAAUGGGUGAUAGCGUGCCUUUUGUAGAAUGAACCGGCGAGUUACGAUACCAUGCAAGGUUAAGGUGGAAAGACCGGAGCCGUAGCGAAAGCGAGUCUGAAAUGGGCGAAUUAGUAUGUUGUUGUAGACCCGAAACCAGGUGACCUACCCAUGUCCAGGGUGAAGGUGCGGUAAAACGCACUGGAGGCCCGAACCCGUGCAUGUUGAAAAAUGCUGGGAUGAGGUGUGGGUAGCGGUGAAAUUCCAAUCGAACUUGGAGAUAGCUGGUUCUCUCCGAAAUAGCUUUAGGGCUAGCCUCGGAAUGUAGCGUGUUGGAGGUAGAGCACUGUUUUGGUGCGGGGCCCAUCUCGGGUUACCAAAUUAAGAUAAACUCCGAAUGCCAAUCACGUAUGUCCGGGAGUCAGACAGUGAGUGAUAAGAUCCAUUGUCGAAAGGGGAACAGCCCAGAUCGUCAGUUAAGGUCCCUAAGUGUGUGUUAAGUGGAAAAGGAUGUGGAGUUGCAUAGACAACUAGGAUGUUGGCUUAGAAGCAGCCACCAUUUAAAGAGUGCGUAAUAGCUCACUAGUCGAGUGAUUCUGCGCCGAAAAUGUACCGGGGCUAAACACACCACCGAAACUACGGGUGCCACGUAAGUGGCGCGAUAGGAGAGCGUUCUAAGGGCGAUGAAGUCAGACCGUGAGGACUGGUGGAGCGCUUAGAAGUGAGAAUGCCGGUAUGAGUAGCGAAAGACAGGUGAGAAUCCUGUCCACCGUAUGACUAAGGUUUCCUGGGGAAGGCUCGUCCUCCCAGGGUUAGUCGGGACCUAAGGCGAGGCCGAGAGGCGUAGUCGAUGGAUAACAGGUUGAGAUUCCUGUACCAGGUGAACAUGUUUGAACGAUGGAGGGACGCAGAAGGCUAACGGAUCCCAGCUGCUGGAUAUGCUGGGUUAAAUAAUAAGUCUUAGAUCGAGUUAAAUGCUUUAUCUUUUAAGGACAAGUUAUGAUGAGGACCGAAAUAAAGUAGGGAAGUCCGUGAUGUCACGCUGCCGAGAAAAGCUUCUAGUUAGUGUUUACCUGCCCGUACCGCAAACCGACACAGGUAGUCGAGGAGAGCAUCCUAAGGUGAGCGAGUGAACUCUCGUUAAGGAACUCGGCAAAAUGACCCCGUAACUUCGGGAGAAGGGGUGCUCAGCGAAAGCUGAGCCGCAGUGAAUAGGCCCAGGCGACUGUUUAUCAAAAACACAGGUUUCUGCAAAAUCGUAAGAUGACGUAUAGGGGCUGACGCCUGCCCGGUGCUGGAAGGUUAAAAGGAGUGCUUAGCUUCGGCGAAGGUACGAAUUGAAGCCCCAGUAAACGGCGGCCGUAACUAUAACGGUCCUAAGGUAGCGAAAUUCCUUGUCGGGUAAGUUCCGACCCGCACGAAAGGCGUAACGA
rnacentral:rRNA from 1 species